AUGACUUUGAUCUGCGUCCUCAUCUGGACUCUCCUCUGCUGCUGCUUCACAGAGUCCAGAGGACAGUUCACAGUGACUCAGCCUGGAGCAGUGAGCUCUGCUGUGGGAGACACAGUCACCAUCAAGUGUAGGACCAGUCAGAAUGUUCAUGUUUGGAACAACAAUCACCGUUUAGCCUGGUACCAAAAGGAAGAUGGAGGAGUUCCUAAACUGCUCAUUCACUCUGCUAGCACUCGACAAUCAGGGAUUCCAGCUCGUUUUACAGGCAGUGGAUCAAACUCUGACUUCACUCUGACCAUCAGUGGAGUCCAGGCUGAAGAUGCAGCAGUUUAUUACUGUCAGAGUCAGCACUAUCCUAACAGUCAGUGGGUGUGCACACAGUGA